rnacentral:pre_miRNA from 1 species
CUAGUCUGUUUGGCACUAGCACAUUUUGCUGUACCUCGAAAGAGGCUCAUUGUCGUGUGCAAGAUAUGUUUGUGCCAAGCCAGAUUGGA